rnacentral:lncRNA from 1 species
AAUGAAAAACAAUCGAACGAUUCUCAUCGCUCAGUGUCAACAUAAACGAACGGCACGGAUCAAAGAGGAGAGGAGUAUUUAGACUCCUCUUCAUAGAGAAACCCAAACCCUAACCCCCAGCCCCCACCAGAGAAGAAGAAUAAGACGUCGGAGAAGAAGGUCGACCGCCGCUACAUUAGAGCCACCACCGACCGCCAAAAAAUCGUAGGCAAAGUCCAACAGAGUUGCCGCAUCCAGAGAUUCCUCCCGCCGGUAUGUUCAUUUUUUUGGUUUUUCUGGCCAACUAAAGCUUCAUAACGUGUUUUUUCACAGGGAUGUGUG